AACGAACGCUGGCGGCAUGCCUAACACAUGCAAGUCGAACGAGAUCUUCGGAUCUAGUGGCGCACGGGUGCGUAACGCGUGGGAAUCUGCCCUUCGGUUGGGAAUAACUGAGAGAAAUUUCAGCUAAUACCUUAUAAUGUCUUCGGACCAAAGAUUUAUCGCCGAGGGAUGAGCCCGCGUAGGAUUAGCUAGAUGGUGGGGUAAUGGCCUACCAAGGCGACGAUCCUUAGCUGGUCUGAGAGGAUGAUCAGCCACACGGGGAAUGAGACACGGCCCAGGCUCCUACGGGAGGCAGCAGGGGGGAAUAUUGGACAAUGGGCGAAAGCCUGAUCCAGCAAUGCCGCGUGAGUGAUGAAGGCCUUAGGGUUGUAAAGCUCUUUUACCAGGGAUGAUAAUGACAGUACCUGGAGAAUAAGCUCCGGCUAACUCCGUGCCAGCCGCCGCCGUAACAC
rnacentral:rRNA from 1 species